AGAGCGAACGCUGGCGGCAGGCCUAAUACAUGCAAGUCGAGCGGCCACUUCGGUGGCAGCGGCGGACGGGUGAGUAACGCGUGGGAAUGUGCCCUUUGGUACGGAACAACUGAGGGAAACUUCAGCUAAUACCGUAUGUGCCCUUCGGGGGAAAGAUUUAUUGCCAUUGGAGCAGCCCGCGUUGGAUUAGCUAGUUGGUGGGGUAAAGCCCACCAAGGCGACGAUCCAUAGCUGGUCUGAGAGGAUGAUCAGCCACACUGGGACUGAGACACGGCCCAGACUCCUACGGGAGGCAGCAGUAGGGAAUCUUGCGCAAGUGGGCGAAAGCCUGACGCAGCCAUGCCGCGUGAAUGAUGAAGGUCUUAGGAUUGUAAAUUCUUUCGACCGGGAAGAUAAUGACGGUACCGGAGAAGAACGCCCGACUAACUUCGU
rnacentral:rRNA from 1 species